rnacentral:rRNA from 1 species
CUACGGGGUGCUCCAGUGAGGAAUAUUGCACAAUGGGGGGAACCCUGAUGCAGCAACGCCGCGUGGAGGAUGACGCAUUUCGGUGUGUAAACUCCUUUUAUAUGUCAAGAAAAUGACGGUAGCAUAUGAAUAAGCACCGGCUAACUCCGUGCCAGCAGCCGCGGUAAUACGGAGGGUGCAAGCGUUACCCGGAAUCACUGGGCGUAAAGGACGCGUAGGCGGGUUGGAAAGUCAGGUGUGAAAUCCUACAGCUUAACUGUAGAACUGCACUUGAAACUUCUAAUCUAGAGUAUGGGAGGGGGAGAUGGAAUUAGUGGUGUAGGGGUAAAAUCCGUAGAUAUCACUAGGAAUACCUAAAGCGAAGGCGAUCUCCUGGAACAUUACUGACGCUAAGGCGUGAAAGCGUGGGGAGCAAACAGGAUUAGAUACCCGUGUAGUC